GAUGAACGCUGGCGGCGUGCCUAAUACAUGCAAGUCGAGCGAAUGGAUUAAGAGCUUGCUCUUAUGAAGUUAGCGGCGGACGGGUGAGUAACACGUGGGUAACCUGCCCAUAAGACUGGGAUAACUCCGGGAAACCGGGGCUAAUACCGGAUAACAUUUUGAACCGCAUGGUUCGAAAUUGAAUGGCGGCUUCGGCUGUCACUUCUGGAUGGACCCGGGUCGCAUUAGCUAGUUGGUGAGGUAACGGCUCACCAAGGCAACGAUGCGUAGCCGACCUGAGAGGGCGAUCGGCCACACUGGGACUGAGACACGGCCCAGACUCCUACGGGAGGCAGCAGUAGGGAAUCUUCCGCAAUGGACGAAAGUCUGACGGAGCAACGCCGCGUGAGUGAUGAAGGCUUUCGGGUCGUAAAACUCUGUUGUUAGGGAAGAACAAGUGCUAGUUGAAUAAGCUGACACCUUGACGGUACCUAACCAGAAAGCCACGGCUAACUACGUGCCAGCCGCCGCAGUAA
rnacentral:rRNA from 1 species